rnacentral:lncRNA from 1 species
UCUUGAAUAUUAUUAUAGAUAGAGAUAAACUGUAAACAGCAAUAAUGUUCAGCAAAGUAAGAUUUACAAAUAAGUCAGCAUGACCGAAAUGAUCAAUUGACCCCCUAAGGAGUUAUUGCUCUUUAUAGUCAAUUUUUAACAAUUUUCAUAUAAUUUGUAAUUUUUUAUUAACAUUUUCCACUGAAACUACUGGACCAAGUU